rnacentral:tRNA from 1 species
GCCGAUGUGGUGGAAUUGGUAGACACGCCAUCUUGAGGGGGUGGUGGCCUAAGGCUGUGCCGGUUCGAGUCCGGCCAUCGGCA